rfam:Antarctobacter heliothermus strain SMS3 chromosome, complete genome.
GCGGAGGGCCGGACGGCCGCUUGUGGAGACAUGAGAGGAAAGUCCGGACUCACCAAAGCACCGGUGCCGGGUAACGCCCGGGCAGGGCAACCUGACGGAAAGCGCCACAGAAAACAGACCGCCCGUUCGUUCGCGUUCGGGACAGGGUGAAAAGGUGGGGUAAGAGCCCACCGGGGGGCUGGCAACAGCGCCCGCAUGGCAAGCCCCACCGGGGAGCAAUGCCGAAUAGGGAUCACGCGCACCUUCGGGUGCAGGGCCGCUUUGGCCUUGGUGAUCCGGGUUGGCAGCUAGAGCCGCGUGGCAACGCGCGGUCCAGAGGAAUGGUCGUCUGAGGGCCGGGAAACCGGCCCAAGAACAGAAUCCGGCUUACAGGCCCUCCGCGCAA